AGAUACCCCAGUAGUCUUAGCCGUAAACGAUGGAUACUAGGCGUUGUCUGUAUCGACCCGGACAGUGCCGAAGCAAACGCGUUAAGUAUCCCGCCUGGGGAGUACGCACGCAAGUGUGAGACUCAAAGGAAUUGACGGGGGCCCGCACAAGCGGUGGAGUAUGUGGUUUAAUUCGAUGCAACGCGAAGAACCUUACCAAGAUUUGACAUCCCGUGAAUCUUCUAGAGAAAGAGGAGUGCCUUAGGGAACACGGAGAUAGGUGGUGCAUGGCUGUCGUCAGCUCGUGUCGUGAGAUGUUGGGUUAAGUCCCACAACGAGCGCAACCCUCGUCCUUAGUUGCCAUCAUUAAGUUGGGCACUUUAGGGAGACUGCCGGGGACAACUCGGAGGAAGGUGGGGAUGACGUCAAGUCAUCAUGCCCCUUACAUUUUGGGCUACACACGUACUACAAUGGUCGGGACAAAGGGCAGCAACCCCGCGAGGGCAAGCGAAUCUCAUCAAACCCGGCCUCAGUUCAGAUUGCAGGCUGCAACUCGCCUGCAUGAAGGAGGAAUCGCUAGUAAUCGCAGGUCAGCAUACUGCGGUGAAUCCGUUCCCGGGCCUUGUACACACCGCCCGUCACACCAUGGAAGCUGGCAACGCCCGAAGUCGUUACUCUAACCUUAGGGAGGAGGGCGCCGAAGGCAGUGCUAGUGACUGGGGUGAAGUCGUAACAAGGUAGCCGUACCGGAAGGUGUGGCUGGAUCACCUCCUUU
rnacentral:rRNA from 1 species